rnacentral:lncRNA from 1 species
GUAAGGGUCACGACCCAUUUUGAUAUGUAUAGUUAGUGAUAUGAACUUAUAGAGAGCCUCAUCCCUUAUAGCAGAUUACCUAAAUCAUCAAAGGAGGUGAAAAUUUUCUACAUUGUGAUGCACAUUUCAUUACAAACCAUAUAUUCAUGAUUAAAAAUAUACCAACUCAUAGAACACAUCAUCUAAACUGGGUCCUUGUCCUUAAGCAAGUAUCUCAGUUUUAAUCCACCCUUAACCUCCAUUGUUCACAACCCUAGACCCACAACCAUUUCACAUUUCUACCAUUCCAAACUUACCUUUUCCAGUUGCAUUUGAUAGAGAAGCGUCACUUUCUUGACGCCCAGGUUCUAUCUAUAAGUUACAUAACAUUAGUACCAAAUAUUAAUUCACAUAAAUAUAGAUGUAUAAGUUUUUAGAGAGAUCAAGAGAGACGAAAAAACCAUGAAUCUGAUGAAAACAUCAACAUCAAACCUAUUACCAGAGAUAUUGAAGUUGUUGUUUACCUCUGGAUGGGCGCAUAGCAGCCACACCAAAAAGGUUGUAGGUCGGCCACGAUAGUUAUACACACCCGCCACUACAUCGACGAUCAGAAGCCUCCAUAGCCAUACGACGCUAUCGGCUUGUCACAACAAUACAUACCCAACAAUGUAUGACGAUGAUGAUUAUUGGCAAUGUGGGGAGAUGAAAUUUGGGUGAAGUCUCUGAAUGUAAACACAAUCAUGAUCUCAAACAAAGAUUCAUCAUCCAAACUAAAGCAAAAUCCACGCCAAAGAACCAAAGGAAAAUAAACGACCUACCUGCAAGCUACCGGUUCGAUAGAUGCGGCAGAGCAAGUAACAAAUUGGCGAUGGAAACAAUUUGCAGAUGAUGUUUGUAGAAGCUUUGCCGGACAACGAUUCAGUGGGUAUGCUUCCUGUAGCUGGUUUAUAAAUUCAUGUUAAAUAAUACAGUUUCCAAGUCUUCAAAAAGCAAAUAUCUUACCGGAGCUCGGGAUAUCAAGAAUGGCAUAACUGGAAGGUCUUUGGUUCUAGGUACAUCAGAAUUAUCCAAAAAAUAAAGUUCCCAAGCCUUCAAAAAGCAAAUAUUUUAAAGCCAAUGCAAUCCCUUGUAUGCCUAUCCAACCAGAAUUAAUGGCAGUAAUAGAAAUCAGAUCUAUAUGGAAGAGUUUCAUGCAACCUUAAGUCAUACCUGAAAUCGUCGUCCAGCAUCACCGGAACCCUAGUUCUUUUCCCGUCGGAAUUCUCAUCGAACCCUUUUUAUCCAGUGACCGUUGGUUACGUGGAUCUGACGCUGUGUUCGCCGCCGCCCUUGAGGCUUAUGGAACCGCCGCCGCCAACAAAACCUGCUUGAAGUCUUUACCCACCCCGUCUCCGGUCUCUGUUUCGACUUCAACCCUAACCAUCGUCACCGUUUCCGACUACAUCCACCACUGACGCUGCUCACCGUCGAUAACCACCACAUCCCUUAUUCGGAACCACCGCCAUCAUCACCAUAUGUUUAUAGUGUAUAUUUUGGUCCCGUAGCUUAAAGUGAUGAAAAACGAGUAAAAACGAGCAGUUUAGAAGAAAACCGGGAUUCGUACGCGCGUCGGAGAAGCUGGAAAUCGAAAUUGAAUAAAAAAAAUAAUAAAAUCAGUUCAAGGAGGCGCCGCGUGACGCGACACCCCCUUGGCGUCACGCGAGGCCUUAGUCUUCGUGAAACAGUGUUUCCCAGCUAGGGUUUUGAGGAUAAUUUUCCAAGAAACUUAAAAUAGAACUCUAAUUACGAAUUAAAAAACCCUAGGCGACUUUGGAGAGGAGAUUUUGAGUAUUUUGGAGUGCUUUAGCUCACGGGAAUCAUUCGGUUGAAGCUUGGAGCGUGAAAGUGAAGAUUGUUCGGGUUUUAUCUCCCGGUGUUCUUUAAUUUCGUGUUUUUAAUAUCUUCCGAUGAAUUCUUGUUUUGAACUUGCUUUGUUAUUUUGAACAUCAUGUUUCUUGGCUAAACCCUAGAUACUACCUAGACAAGAUGAUAGUUUGAUUAACGUUUGGAUCUUUUAACGGUUUAUUGUUUGAUUAUGGAUUGAUUUCUGAAAGUAAAGUGUUCUAG